AGUGAACGCUGGCGGUAGGCCUAACACAUGCAAGUCGAACGGCAGCACAGUAAGAGCUUGCUCUUACGGGUGGCGAGUGGCGGACGGGUGAGGAAUACAUCGGAAUCUACUUUUUCGUGGGGGAUAACGUAGGGAAACUUACGCUAAUACCGCAUACGACCUACGGGUGAAAGCAGGGGAUCUUCGGACCUUGCGCGAUUGAAUGAGCCGAUGUCGGAUUAGCUAGUUGGCGGGGUAAAGGCCCACCAAGGCGACGAUCCGUAGCUGGUCUGAGAGGAUGAUCAGCCACACUGGAACUGAGACACGGUCCAGACUCCUACGGUAGGCAGCAGUGCGGAAUAUUGGACAAUGGGCGCAAGCCUGAUCCAGCCAUACCGCGUGGGUGAAGAAGGCCUUCUGCUUGUAAAGCCCUUUUGUUGGGAAAGAAAAGCAGCAGGUUAAUACCCCGCUGUUCUGACGGUACCCAAAGAAUAAGCACCGGCUAACUUCGUG
rnacentral:rRNA from 1 species